rnacentral:rRNA from 1 species
CCCUUAGAUGUUCUGGGCCGCACGCGCGCUACACUGUUCGACGCAGCGAGUCUUAACCUUGACCGAAAGGUUUGGGUAAUCUUCAGCGAAGUCGAACGUGAUGGGGAUCGAUCAUUGCAAUUAUUGAUCGUGAACGAGGAAUUCCUAGUAAGUGCAAGUCAUCAGCUUGCGCUGAUUACGUCCCUGCCCUUUGUACACACCGCCCGUCGCUACUACCGAUUGAAUGGUUUAGUGAGAUCUCUGGAUUGACGCUGGCUAGGGGGCGACCCUUGGCCAGACUGCUCGAGAAACUGCUCAAACUUGAUCAUUUAGAGGAAGUAAAAGUCGUAACA